UAACACGUAGGGGGCGAGCGUUGUCCGGAUUUAUUGGGCGUAAAGAGCUCGUAGGCGGCUCGGUAAGUCGGGUGUGAAAACUCUGGGCUCAACCCAGAGACGCCACCCGAUACUGCUGUGGCUAGAGUCCGGUAGGGGAGCGUGGAAUUCCCAGUGUAGCGGUGAAAUGCGCAGAUAUUGGGAGGAACACCAGCGGCGAAGGCGGCGCUCUGGGCCGGAACUGACGCUGAGGAGCGAAAGCGUGGGGAGCGAACAGGAUUAGAUACCCUGGUAGUCCACGCCGUAAACGUUGGGCACUAGGUGUGGGACCGCAUCAACCGGUUCCGUGCCGUAGCUAACGCAUUAAGUGCCCCGCCUGGGGAGUACGGCCGCAAGGCUA
rnacentral:rRNA from 1 species